CGCGCAGGCGGUCUUGUCAGUCAGGUGUGAAAGCCCGGGGCUCAACCCUGGAAGUGCACUUGAAACAGCAAGACUUGAGUACGGGAGAGGAAAGCGGAAUUCCUGGUGUAGAGGUGAAAUUCGUAGAUAUCAGGAGGAACACCGAUGGCGAAGGCAGCUUUCUGGACCGAUACUGACGCUGAGGCGCGAAGGCGUGGGUAGCGAACG
rnacentral:rRNA from 1 species